GAUGAACAUUCGGGGCCGGCGAUAGACGGUGGGCGGCCAAGCGAAWGCGUUAAGUGUUCCACCUGGGGAGUACGCCCGCMAGGRUGAAACUCAAAGGAAUUGACGGGGGCCCGCCAAGCGGAGGAGCAUGUGGUUUAAUUUGAUGAUACGCGAGGAACCUUACCCGGGCUUGAAAGUUACUGAAGGUAGCAGAGAUGUUGCCGUCCUUCGGGACAGGAAACUAGGUGCUGCAUGGGUGUGGUCAGCUCGUGCCGUGAGGUGUUGGGUUAAGUCCCGCAACGAGCGCAACCCCUGCGGAUAGUUGCCAGCAUAUAAAGGUGGGGACUCUAUCCGGACWGCCUGUGCAAACAGCGGGGAAGGGGGGGAAGACGUCAAGUCCUCAUGGCCCUUACGUCCGGGGCUACACAAGUGCUACAAUGGCCGGUACAGAGGGCCGCUACGCUGCAAAGUGGCGCCAAUCUCUCAAAGCCUGUCGCAGUUCGGAUCGGGGUCUGCAACUCGACCUCGUGAAGUUGGAUUCGCUAGUAAUCGCGUAUCAGCAAUGACGCGGUGAAUACGUUCCCGGUCCCCGUACACACCGCCCGUCAAGCCUGAAAGCCGGAGGUACCUGAAGCAUGUAACCGCAAGGAGCGUGUUAGAGGU
rnacentral:rRNA from 1 species